AGUGGCGGACGGGUGAGUAACACGUAGAUGACCUGCCUUAAAGAGGGGGACAACCAAUGGAAACGCUGGCUAAUACCCCAUAAGCUCUGUAUAACUAGAAGAUAUAGAGUAAAGGAUUUAUUCGCUUUAAGAGGGGUCUGCGGGCUAUCAGCUAGUUGGUGGGGUAAAGGCUCACCAAGGCGAAGACGGCUAGGGGACGUGAGAGCGUGACCCCCCACAAUGGGACUGAGACACGGCCCAU
rnacentral:rRNA from 1 species